UGCAUGAUUAGGCAUUGUUAUUGUGUUAUAAUUUCGAAUAAAAUGCAGUAAAUUAUGACAAUCCGAAUGAGUUCUGAUGCCAGCAGUACUGCAGAAAUGGAAUGUGUAGUUCUCUAGCUGGAUUUACAUAAAAGAAACUAAUGUACCUG